CUCCCUCCCAGACCCUCCCACCUCCUGGACAGCAUCCAUUUUACAUUCAUUGUGAAGCUGCAUUCUUAGUGACAGGAGGGACAGUGUAGCUGCUGCUGAUUUGAUAGGGAAAUUGAUAGCUAGGCUAGUGUAUUCAGUGUCCACUACAGUCCUGAAGGACUCAUCUGAUCUCUCUGACCUCACUACCCCCCACACCCCAUCAGCCUCACUA